AUUGAACGCUGGCGGCAGGCUUAACACAUGCAAGUCGAGCGGAGAGAGGUAGCUUGCUACUGAUCUUAGCGGCGGAUGGGUGAGUAAUGCUUAGGAAUCUGCCUAUUAGUGGGGGACAACAUUUCGAAAGGAAUGCUAAUACCGCAUACGUCCUACGGGAGAAAGCAGGGGAUCUUCGGACCUUGCGCUAAUAGAUGAGCCUAAGUCGGAUUAGCUAGUUGGUGGCGUAAAGGCCUACCAAGGCGACGAUCUGUAGCGGGUCUGAGAGGAUGAUCCGCCACACUGGGACUGAGACACGGCCCAGACUCCUACGGGAGGCAGCAGUGGGGAAUAUUGGACAAUGGGCGGAAGUCUGAUCCAGCCAUGCCGCGUGUGUGAAGAAGGCCUUAUGGUUGUAAAGCACUUUAAGCGAGGAGGAGGCUACUUUAGUUAAUACCUAGAGAUAGUGGACGUUACUCGCAGAAUAAGCACCGGCUAACUCUGUGCCAGCCGCCGCAGUAA
rnacentral:rRNA from 1 species